GACAUACUAAGAACUUUCCAGAGAUGGAUUGGUGCCUUCGGGAACUUAGAUACAGGUGCUGCAUGGCUGUCGUCAGCUCGUGUCGUGAGAUUGUUGGGUUAAGUCCCGCAACGAGCGCAACCCUUUUCCUUAUUUGCCAGCGGGUUAAGCCGGGAACUUUAAGGAUACUGCCAGUGACAAACUGGAGGAAGGCGGGGACGACGUCAAGUCAUCAUGGCCCUUACGGCCAGGGCUACACACGUGCUACAAUGGUCGGUACAAAGGGUUGCUACCUCGCGAGAGGAUGCUAAUCUCAAAAAGCCGAUCGUAGUCCGGAUCGCAGUCUGCAACUCGACUGCGUGAAGUCGGAAUCGCUAGUAAUCGCGGAUCAGAAUGCCGCGGUGAAUACGUUCCCGGGCCUUGUACACACCGCCCGUCACACCAUGGGAGUUUGUUGCACCAGAAGUAGGUAGUCUAACCGCAAGGAGGACGCUUACCACGGUGUGGCCGAUGACUGGGGUGAAGUCGUAACAAGGUAGGCGUAGAUGA
rnacentral:rRNA from 1 species